rnacentral:rRNA from 1 species
UACGUAGGGUGCAAGCGUUUAAUCGGAAUUACUGGGCGUAAAGCGUGCGCAGGCGGUUUUGUAAGUCUGUCGUGAAAGCCCCGGGCUCACCUGGGAAUUGCGAUGGAGACUGCAAGGCUUGAAUCUGGCAGAGGGGGGUAGAAUUCCACGUGUAGCAGGUGAAAUGCGUAGAGAUGUGGAGGAACACCGAUGGCGAAGGCAGCCCCCUGGGUCAAGAUUGACGCUC